rnacentral:rRNA from 1 species
GGACCCGUAAUCCGGGUUGCGGACAGUGUCUGGUGGGUAGUUUGACUGGGGCGGUCUCCUCCUAAAGAGUAACGGAGGAGCACGAAGGUUGGCUAAUCCUGGUCGGACAUCAGGAGGUUAGUGCAAUGGCAUAAGCCAGCUUGACUGCGAGCGUGACGGCGCGAGCAGGUGCGAAAGCAGGUCAUAGUGAUCCGGUGGUUCUGAAUGGAAGGGCCAUCGCUCAACGGAUAAAAGGUACUCCGGGGAUAACAGGCUGAUACCGCCCAAGAGUUCAUAUCGACGGCGGUGUUUGGCACCUCGAUGUCGGCUCAUCACAUCCUGGGGCUGAAGUAGGUCCCAAGGGUAUGGCUGUUCGCCAUUUAAAGUGGUACGCGAGCUGGGUUUAGAACGUCGUGAGACAGUUCGGUCCCUAUCUGCCGUGGGCGCUGGAGAACUGAGGGGGGCUGCUCCUAGUACGAGAGGACCGGAGUGGACGCAUCACUGGUGUUCGGGUUGUCAUGCCAAUGGCACUGCCCGGUAGCUAAAUGCGGAAGAGAUAAGUGCUGAAAGCAUCUAAGCACGAAACUUGCCCCGAGAUGAGUUCUCCCUGAGACUUAGAGUCUCCUGAAGGAACGUUGAAGACGACGACGUUGAUAGGCCGGGUGUGUAAGCGCAGCGAUGCGUUGAGCUAACCGGUACUAAUGAACCGUGAGGCUUAACCUUACAACGCCGAAG